AGAACCUUUGCUUCUUGGUUAAACUGUGUCUCCUCUGUGCAGUUUCUGCAAAGACGUAAAAACUGACUCCUGGGGAUAUUCUUUAACCAAAUGGGCCUAAAGCUAAGCUGACAUUUCCUAUUCUGUCUGUGGUGAUAAGGAGGAGGCUGCUGGAAAGUGAUCUGUACAGCAUUACAGUGAAAGUCUGCUCAUUCUCCUUCAACAUCAACAAGGCAUUUUCGUCCACACAAGUGUCGCUAACUGGAUAUUUUCUCUGUAAACCCUAGAGACGGUUGUGUGUGAAAAUCCCAGUAGAUCAGCAGUUCCUGAAAUACUCAGACCAGCCUGUCUUGCACCAA